GAAAAACAUCAUUAAUAUUCACAACUUUUGAAGUUGUCCAUUGAAUUUGCUAUAUUCACAGGGGAAAAAAAAAAUAAAAUACAAUCGAUAAUUCCAAGAAAAAAAAAAUAAUAGAAUACAAUCGAGAAUGAAAAAUACAUUUUCGCUUUACAAACUCAACUCAGCAGUUUCUUGUUCAAUCAGUGGAAUAACUUUGCCCACAAUCCCUCAAGGAAGCCAAUGAUAAUAAUAAAGACGAGAAAAUACAAAUAGCACCCAACGUAGCAAAAAUCCAUAGUCACAAGCACACCUAAUAAACAUCUCAACGUUCUAGUACUGUCCGAAUGGCAUCUUGUUGAACCUGUGUUAAACCCUGGCAAAGAUGAUCAAACAGCCCUCUGUUGCUGUGAGAGAACUUAACAAAGAACUCUGCUAGAUAACUUGCCAAAUUAAUCUGUAAUGCAUAUUCAAGGAAUUAAAGACAUAUAGAUUACUAUAUAUAUUUAUUAGGUAAAUAUAUUGCAUGAAAAACCACCUCAUUCAGUGGAUCAGCAACAUGGAAUAAGUCAUCAUCAUCCCCAUCCUCUUCAUUCUCGUUAAAAGCUUUUGCCAUUGCUUCAAGUUGAUCAUAUGUGGUUCUGCCACAUGAUGUACGGGCAGCAGAGAACAAAUUUUUAUCAGAUUCCACAUCUCCUUCCUGAAUUUCUUCCCAGUCACUCUCCACAUCAUCACCAACAGUCACUUGCUCUUGGAUUUCAAUCAAUGCAUCAGCCAAUAAAGCCAGUAUCUGCAAACACAUGAGAAAAGAGAAGACCUUUUCAUUUUUUAUCUCCAAAUAACUCAGAUGCGAAAUAUGAAUAAUUUGGAAAGAAACAAAACCUUGUUAAAACACAAGCUGUAAGAACUCAGGCACAAAAUGUGAAGAACCAUGAAACUAUUCUGGAAGCAACAACCAUAUUUGCAAUACAUGGUAACUGGGAGACAGAAUAAAGCAAUUACUUCUGCUUUUAAUUUUAAAAGUUUGUCUUAUUUCAGGAGAUUACCCAUCUAGUUCAAUUAGCGAAAAGCAUAUACUAGCCAAUUUGGCCUUGCAGAAUAUUUUGUCUACCAACAUUUACCACAAGAUAACCUCUGCUCAGUGACAACUCAUCCACCUAAAAGAUUCAAGACUGAAUUUAGUCUAGAUUCUAGAAGUACCUUUUCAGGAAGUGGCACAACAGUCCACUGAUCCGGAGCUAAUUUAGCUUUUGAGCGAGUAGUUAUCCCUGCAUUAGACUUCAGCAAAUGACCCUGUACAUUAACUUUCCCUAGUUCAGCAUGUCUCGUGGAUAGCAGCAAGGCCAAAGCAGUGGUUGAAACCUUAAUUUGAUAAGCCCCUUGUAUCUCCCCUGAGCUCAAUAAGGAUUUUGAGAUAAAUAAGUUGGAGCUCACAAUUGACUUGUUGUUUAGUCCAUUCUGACAUUACAUAAACAAAGGAAUUUUCAUAGCCUGCGGCAGGGAUACUGAUCAGCAUAUCUAUGAACUGUUCAACAUUAGGGGCACUCAUAUGGACCUGCAUUUUCAAGAAUUGGAGAUCAAUCCAUGAAAACCACAAACAAUGAAAGCUUAUAACCCAGAGCUGAAAGAAGGAAACGAAAAAGUGAAAUAGGUAAAUUUCACAAGCAACUCUCAAGUUUCAAGCAUGACAAGUACAAAGUGUAGGCCAGCAAAGGCCGUAGAAUGCCAUUUUUAUGCAGUAAAAACAAUGUCAAUUCAGUUGGGAAAAAGAUCCAAACAGCUAGAGAUGUCUGCUAUUUAAAUAGCCAGUUAGAAAUUUUCACACCAAAAAUAAAUUCAGUCUCUAGCUUCAUCAAUUAAUGCACAAGAAGACCACACUAGUAAAAUGAGUUGCAAUUUGAAAAAAAGAUGAUUUAACACUAUCAUCCAGCAUUGCUCCACUUGACAAAAACAGUUGACAGUAGAAGUUUUUAAGUUCACCGGAAAUGAAGCAAAAACAUUGAAGUUUGUGGCGGGUCUAGAAAUAUUUUUUCUGUAAUCAACAUAUAAAAAAAAUAAUAAAAAAUACUAAUAAAAAAUAUCAAAAAUACAAUAUUAAUAUCUUACAAUUGAACUCGACCACUCUUAAUACACUAAAACUAUAAAGAAUUACAUUAUUAUCAAUGUUAUCAAAUACAUCUCUCUAUAAACAAGUAACUAAACAAUUAUUCAUCAACCGAUAUCAUGAACUUUUAACAAAAAAUGGUUUAAAUAAAUUUAUGAGGGUUCACUUUAUAUAUAUAAUAAAAAGACGGGUCAAUGAGCCCUCAUUUAGUGUGGUGCAUCUGCCAAUGGUUGAAGUACAAGUACCAAUCUAGCAAAAAUAAGUAACAAGGAGCUUCUCAAUCCUGCUAUUUGAGCUGUUUGCAUUCGCCUAGCAAGAGCAGCAACAAGAUCUUGGAUAUGCUGCGCCAUUUGCAAUGGCAAAUGUAACAUGAGUUGCAAAAUGUAUCGUCCAACAAAAAGAGAUCCAGAGCUUUCCAGAUCAGGGUCAAGAAGCCUUGAAGCUGCAUCAAGCAAACUUCUCAUUGUGAAUCCAGAAUCAGCAGCCCAAGCAAGCAUUUCUUGCCUUCCACUAGAUACAAAAGCAGCCAAACAUUCUGUGGCAUUCUGCAUUUCACUGUGAUCUUGACUUUGAAGGACUAUCCGUAUAACAGCAUCAAAACAAACAUCAUAUACAGCUUUUAUUACGUCAUUUGGAGCAUUCUUUAAUAGCAUAGUUACCAGAUCCAAGGAUCCAGCUACAAGUCCAUCAGGCUGUUGGUGUGGUUUAUUUAAGAUUGGCCCAAUAUGUGGCAAAAUUCGAGAAACCAAUGGACGAAAACAGCCAGGAGCAUUUUUUAUUGCCUCCAGAACCUCAAUGGCAUCAAUACUAACAAAGGGAUCAGAAAUAUGAACUGCCCACGUAUGAAGGAUUACAGGAGAGAUAAUGGACUCAACCACUACUGAUGCUUCAUGAGCUGCCUUAAUUGCUGCCUGCAGUGUUUCAAGUACUAGGUGCAAAGUUUCUUCAGAUGCCUGAUGAAGAAGAUCUGUAAGCGAAGUAAAUAAACUCAUCAUAUGAGGCUGAAUAAUUCCUUUGUUAGCUUCAGGUAGGAGUUGGGAAAGUGCCCGGCAAGCACCUACUUUCACAGGUGGGGGCACAUCCAUGCCAACUGCCUGGAUUGCAGCAGAGAGAUAAUGCUCAAGAACUCCAUGGCUGAUCACAGUGGAGAACUUAGCAACUGAGGUGAAAAUACGAGCAUAAAGAAAGGGAUAUUCAUGCACCCUUGUUCCAAUGUCUUCAGUAAUCAUUUGCUCUACAAGGUUUCCUAAGCUGAUAUUUGUCAGACCUGAAGCCUCUGCUUCAAGCAAUUGUUCUGACAGAGAAGCCAAAGCAAAGAGUGUAGACUCCCUCAUCCUCCACCAAACUAAUGAACCAGCAGCUUUUUCUUGUCGAGACUCAUUGAAUCUGUCUCUCACAGCAUCUAUGAUAGCAUUCAUUCCUUCUCCACCAAAAGAAUUCACCACCUCCUCUAGCAGAAGCACACCAGAAACACGACAGCUAUAAGUGACAUCAUCCUCAUCAGCGACAAACUGAUUAGCAUCCAUUGACCAUGUAUGAACCUGUUGUUCUGUCAUUUGCAGAAAAGCAAUGGUGUAAUAAACCAACUCCUUAAUAUUAUUCCCAACAACCUUCAUUAGUUUUGCACUGCCCACAACAGUCGACAAAAACUCAAAAAGCUGGAUGACAAAUGAAUCAAGACUUAUCUCCACACCAUCAGAAUCAUAUCUACCCUCAUAGGGAUCUUCUGUACCUUCAACUGAUGACCGCAUGUAUACUCUUAGAGACGUUACAAAUGUUUGCCACAAAGGUCCCACAACAACCACGAAUUCACUUUCAGUAAGGCUGGGGAAAUUCUGAACAAACUGAUUUAAGCACUUUAAAACCCCCAUUCUCAGGCUCCAGUCAUCAGGAUCUUCAGGUUGCACAGACUGUCCUAAGAUCAUAGAGAACUGAUCCAUCAAUGGUUUAAGCAUCGUUGUCAUCAGUGCACUGGUUUCUGUCUCAUACACACCACUCAUAGCCCCAAGCAUGGAUGUGCAAGAAUAAACUAUUGAAAGAGCUUUUGUGCGCAAAUAGUUGUCAUAUAUCUGAGGGGAAGAUACAAUUGUGUGCAAGCAUGGAAACAAAACAGGGACUAGUGUUGGCACCAUUGUAUCAUCCAAGUCUCCAGAAAGAAGAGCCAAGCACCUUAGAGCUCCAUGUACUCUAUUCAUAUUGGUUUGAUCAGUAAUCAACUUCAAAAGGGAAGGCAAUAGGUCAGGCCAACCCUCAGGCCAGUCAUACAUAGCAACUGAUGCUAUAGCCAUACUAAUUGCUGUGCAGAUUUUUCUGUAAGAAUCAUCCAAUGAAGCUAAAAGAAGUCUGCGUAUAACCUCCUUUUCUUCAUUUGACACAGCAGGAUGUUCAAAAGAGUCCUCACCUUCUUGCCAGUGUUUCUUGAUGAAUUGCUUUAGAAGAACAGCUGCUAACUGUCGCAAUCCCAAAGAAAGCUCCCUGUUUGCAGCAACCUUGGAUAGUGCCCCUCCAAAACCUGGUUGAAGAGAGGCCUGAUUGAGUGAAGCUUCAGCGAAAGAACGAACUUCCUGGUUAGGGUCAAGAGUGGCAGUCAAGCAGUUAAGAAGCCAUUGCUGAUCUUGAUCAAGUAUGUUUGCCAUGAAUUUCCAAAACUAAGCUAUCUGUUGGGGUUUAGAAAUCAGAACGAUUUUAAGGGUUCCUUUGAAUUGCUUUUGAAAUUCCCUCCCAGCUCUAAAAAGAGGGUUUUAGCGCAGAAAGGGAAAGAUAGAGACGAGUGACGACAGGUUCUGGAAGCAGGGUGAGCAUUUAUAUGAGGAAGAGACAGAGACAGAAGGCAGCAGUAGAAGGAGAAUUUGGGUUGGCGGUGCUUUGGCCUAUGGUUC
rnacentral:misc_RNA from 1 species